rnacentral:rRNA from 1 species
AAUAAGCGGAGGAAAAGAACACCAACAGGGAUUACCUCAGUAACGGCGAGUGAAGCGGUAACAGCUCAAAUUUGAAAGCUAGCUCUUCUAGGGUUCGCAUUGUAAUUUGUAGAAGAUGCUUCGGGUGUGGCCCCGGUCUAAGUUCCUUGGAACAGGACGUCAUAGAGGGUGAGAAUCCCGUAUGUGACUGGGUGCUUUCGCUCAUGUGAAGCUCUUUCGACGAGUCGAGUUGUUUGGGAAUGCAGCUCAAAAUGGGUGGUAAAUUUCAUCUAAAGCUAAAUAUUGGCCAGAGACCGAUAGCGCACAAGUAGAGUGAUCGAAAGAUGAAAAGCACUUUGGAAAGAGAGUUAAACAGUACGUGAAAUUGUUGAAAGGGAAGCGCUUGCAACCAGACUUGCGCGCUGAUGAUCAUCCGGGCUUCUGCCCGGUGCACUCGUCUGCGCUCAGGCCAGCAUCGGUUUCGGUGGUGGGAUAAAGGCCUUGGGAAUGUAGCUUCUUUCGGGGAGUGUUAUAGCCCUCGGUGCAAUGCCGCCUACCGGGACCGAGGACCGCGCUUCGGCUAGGAUGCUGGCGUAAUGGUUGUAAGCGACCCGUCUUGAAA